rnacentral:rRNA from 1 species
ACUGCGAGUGAAGCGGGAAAGCUCAAUUUAAAAUCUGGUGGUUACGCCGCCCGAGUUGUAAUCUGGAGAAGUGUUUUCCGUGUUGGACCGUGUACAAGUCUCUUGGAACGGAGCGUCAUAGAGGGUGAGAAUCCCGUCUUUGACACGGACUACCAAUACUUUGUGAUACGCUCUCAAAGAGUCGAGUUGUUUGGGAAUGCAGCUCAAAAUGGGUGGUAAAUUCCAUCUAAAGCUAAAUAUUGGCGAGAGACCGAUAGCGAACAAGUACCGUGAGGGAAAGAUGAAAAGCACUUUGGAAAGAGAGUUAAACAGUACGUGAAAUUGUUGAAAGGGAAACGCUUGAAGUCAGUCGCGUUGUCUGGGACUCAGCCUGGCUAUCCGCUUGGUGUACUUCCUGGGUGACGGGCCAACAUCGAUUUUGGUCGGCGGAUAAAGGUGGGGGGAAUGUGGCAUCUUCGGAUGUGUUAUAGCCCCCUGUCGGAUGCGUCGGCUGGGAUCGAGGAUCGCAGCACGCCUUUUUGGCCGGGGUUCGCCCACGUAACGUGCUUAGGAUGUUGGCAUAAUGGCUUUAAGCGACCCGUCUUGAAACACGGACCAAGGAGUCUAACAUGCCUGCGAGUGUUAGGGUGGAAAACCCUUGCGCGUAAUGAAAGUGAAAGUUGGGACCCUUGUCAUGGGGGGCACCGACGCCCGGCCUUGAACUUCUGUGACGGCGCCGCGGUGGAGCAUGCAUGUUGGGACCCGAAAGAUGGUGAACUAUGCCUGAAUAGGGCGAAGCCAGAGGAAACUCUGGUGGAGGCUCGUAGCGAUUCUGACGUGCAAAUCGAUCGUCAAAUUUGGGUAUAGGGGCGAAAGACUAAUCGAACCUCUA